AACGAACGCUGGCGGCAGGCUUAACACAUGCAAGUCGAACGCCCCGCAAGGGGAGUGGCAGACGGGUGAGUAACGCGUGGGAAUCUACCGUACCCUACGGAACAACAGUUGGAAACGACUGCUAAUACCGUAUACGCCCUACGGGGGAAAGAUUUAUCGGGGAAUGAUGAGCCCGCGUUGGAUUAGCUAGUUGGUGGGGUAAGGGCCUACCAAGGCGACGAUCCAUAGCUGGUCUGAGAGGAUGAUCAGCCACAUUGGGACUGAGACACGGCCCAAACUCCUACGGGAGGCAGCAGUGGGGAAUAUUGGACAAUGGGCGCAAGCCUGAUCCAGCCAUGCCGCGUGAGUGAUGAAGGUCUUAGGAUUGUAAAGCUCUUUCACCGAUGAAGAUAAUGACGGUAGUCGGAGAAGAAGCCCCGGCUAACUUCGUGCCAGCCGCCGCAGUAA
rnacentral:rRNA from 1 species